AUGCAAGUCGAACGAGAAGCCUGAUUUCGAUUAGGUGGAGAGUGGCGCACGGGUGAGUAACACAUGGCUGACCUGCCCUUCAGAGGGGGACAACCACCGGAAACGGUGGCUAAUACCCCAUACGCUCGCCGUGAUUAGCAGGCGGUGAGGAAACCUUCGGGGCUGAGGGAGGGGGCUGUGGCCCAUCAGCUAGUUGGUAGGGUAACGGCCUACCAAGGCAAAGACGGGUAGGGGGCCUGAGAGGGUGACCCCCCACACGGGCACUGAGACACGGGCCCGACUUCUACGGAAGGCAGCAGUGAGGGAUAUUGCCCAAUGGACGGAAGUCUGAGGCAGCAACGCCGCGUGCGGGAUGAAGGCCUUCGGGUUGUAAACCGCUUUUCUGCGCGAAGAGGAAGGACGGUAGCGCAGGAAGAAGUCUCGGCUAACUACGUGCCAGCAGCCGCGGUAAAACGUAGGAGGCGAGCGUUAUCCGGAUUUACUGGGUGUAAGGCGCGUGCAGGCGGUCAUGUAAGUGGUGCGUGAAAGCGCCCGGCUCAACCGGGCGAGGCCGUGCCAAACUGCGUGACUGGAGGCCAGGUAGAGGCGCGUGGAAUUCCGGGUGUAGUGGUGAAAUGCGUAGAUAUCCGGAGGAACACCAGUGGCGAAAGGCGGCGCGCUGGGCCUGACCUGACGCUAAGACGCGAAAGCAUGGGGAGCGAACGGGAUUAGAAACCCCGGUAGUCCAUGCUGUUAACGCUGCAGACUAGGUGUUGCGUGCGACGAGUAUGCAGUGCCGAAGCCAACGUGAUAAGUCGGCCACCUGGGGACUACGGCCGCAAGGUUAAAACUCAAAGGAAUUGACGGGGGCCCGCACAAGCAGCGGAGCGUGUGGUUUAAUUCGAGGCUACACGAAGAACCUGACCUGGGCUUGACAUGGCGGUGGUAGGGAACCGAAAGGGGACCGACCGGCGGGAGCCGUCACAGGUGCUGCAUGGCUGUCGUCAGCUCGUGUCGUGAGAUGUUCGGUGAAGGCCGGUAACGAGCGCAACCCGCGCCGCCAGUUACAAGUGGCGAGCGGGACUGGCCCGUUGAACGCGGGAGGAAGGUGGGGAUGACGGCAAGUCAGCAUGGGCCGGGAUGGUGCCAGGGCGACACACACGCUGACAAGGGCCGGUGACAAUGGUGCGCCAACCCGCGAGGGGGAGCCAAUGCCA
rnacentral:rRNA from 1 species